rnacentral:lncRNA from 1 species
CAAUAUAACAUAUAGCUCGACAAGACACAUCUAUACAAAUCGCAGCACUGCUAAACUUGCACAGGGUAAUUGAGUAUACUUCCAGUUCCUCAGGCCGGUACAGCUACAGGUCUUUGGCUGGUCUUGAUUCCUUUGAUAGCUGCAGAAUUGCAUGAGGAGAAUCAAUAAGAAAUUUAGUAUCACUUGGUAAUGUAUACUUGAUUCGAAACCUAUAUGAAAUUUCAAAUUUUGAAUAUCAAAAGUAGACAAUUGAAUAUGGAUGCUAUCGAGAAGAAAACACGCCUGCAGCAUAGUCUGGAGCUCCAAAAACUGCAGAACCAGCAACGAUGGCAUUCGCCCCAGCUUCAAUGACCUGCAUGUAAGGAAAUGUUAGCUCCUAGCUGGACCAGAAGUUCAGGAUUGAUCCGUGAAAUGAGAGGAUAAAGUUAAAUGGCAGCACGAAAAAAAUCUAGACAUGUUACCUUGUAGGCAUUGUUAGGACCAACACCACCAUCAACCUCAAUCCAGGGGUUCACUCCCUACAAAACAAAAAAAAUAAAUAAAUUUUCGAUGCUUUGAACGUCAGGGCAGUGAGAAUACUUGCAAGCAAACAAGGGGUAUACCUUCUCUGCACAUAACCUUCUCAAGUCUGCAAUUUUCUUUACUUGACUCUCAAUAAAGCUCUGGCCACCAAACCCAGGAUUGACAGACAUGAUCAAGACCAGGUCAACAACUGCACACAAAAAUUGAAGUAAUGCGAUUAGAGUGUCAGUACAUGUUGGCUUUUCAGUUAUUAGGGCAGUGAUGAAUUGAUGAGAAAAGUAGUUAAAUGUAUACUCAAGCAACUACAAAGUUUUACUGAGAUCUUGUCCAAUGCAAGCCUUGUGACUACAUGGUGGAUAGCCAAGAAAGUCAAGAGUGCCAUGUGGUCAAAACUAUCACCAAAUUCUUACAAGAAGAAGCACCAUUUUCCUCUUAAUAACUAAAAUCUCUAUUGUAGCUAUGCUGGUAGAAGAAAAGCAAAAUCAGUGGCGGAAUAACAGGAUUGAGUAGCCUGUUUAAAGUUUAAACUCCACAUGCCUACACGAAUGGCCUUGUACUUACUCCAAUAUCAAUCCUCAACAGUCAUCAUUUACUAUUAGUUAUAAAUAACUAGUAAUGAAUAUAUUAUAGGGCUUUUGGAACCUAAAUGGCAAGAAUAGAUAGUCUGAACCUGGUCUAGUAACAUCAACAGACUUUUUGAACUUCACACACAUGUCAAGAUACCAGACACUGAAAUGAGCGUCAUGAUCUUACCAUCAAGAACAUAAUCUAUUGCGCUGAGUGGAGUCGCUGGAUUCAAAACAACUCCUGCCUUUGCUCCUAAACUUUUAAUCUGACAGAAAAUGGAAUACAACAUAAGUUCCAACAUUCACCAUGGCAUUAAAAGGGAUAACAUGACACCACAAUGGCUGGGAUAUUCAAAGAUCUGCAAAGCAACUUGUUGUGCCUAGUCCUAAAUCACAACUAUAGUACAUCUCGGAACGUGUUGCUUAUAGGCCUAACACUAACAUGUAACAAGUGUGCUCCUAUAGCACGAGCCUAGUAACAGUUCAACCUCACAAAUCACACACAGAAAAGGCACUCUCAUUUUCGAUAGCAGUCCAUGAUUCUAUACUAAAUCAUGAAUAAACAGAAGUACAAUGAAGUGUUUAAGUAUUAAUUGAAACCAUUUGUAUUGCAUAGCACCAUGUAAGCAGGAAAAAACACAUUCAUUGCUUUAUAUCCAAAUAAAAUUAAAGUUAUCAGCAAUAAACUCUAUUAACUGAGACAUUAACCGGUAACAUAAUGGUGGCGUAAAUGUUUACCUGAUUGACUGUUCGGUGCAAAUGGAUGGUUGAUGAUUGUUCACAGUGGACACUAACAAUAUCAGCACCUGCCUUAAUAAAAUCUGGGACUCGCUGCUCAGGUUCCACAAUCAUCUGCAGUAAAAAUCAGAAAUCUCCACAUUCAGCAGGGGUCAACAAGGGAUGAAAGUACAUCAUAUAAGAACCUAGAACUUGACUGGGGCUUCCAGAACAAUACCAGAUGUACAUCCAAUGGAAGAUCAGUCACUGGACGCAGAGCAUCAACAACCAAAGGUCCAAUCGUGAUAUUUGGCACAAAGCGUCCAUCCAUGACAUCGACAUGAAUCCAAUCACAUCCUGCCAGCUCCACAGCUUUUACCUAGUAAUGUUAAACAUCAUGGCAAGAUGAGCACAGAAUAUUUGUACAUUGGCAUCAAGAAAAUGCAUGUUAUUUACACCAGAGCUUAUUCCAUUGCCUUAUUUGUAGGGAAAGAAGUUGCUUAUGAGCUGGUGGAACAGGAAUACAUUGUGUAAGGCCAAAUUUGCUGAUGAAUGGAUGAAUAUGGCAUUAUCAAGCUAUUCCGUCAAUAGUAGCCUAACAUGCGUGUAUGACAUAUUCCCAAGCAAUGGUCAGUGCAAAAAAAACAUGUCAAUGAAAUGGAGUUUGGUGGAUGUUGGUAUCUUAACGGACCUGCUCACCAAGCUUGGAAAAGUUUGCGGAUAGAAUGGAAGGUGACACAAUGAUGUCAUUCUUUGAGAACUUGUCGACCCGAGAUGUUGCCCUCACUUGGAAUGCCUUCCUGGAAACCACAAAACAAAACAAAAUGAACUUAAGCUCACAGUUCAGAACAAAAAGAAGCAAGAACCAAACAACAAAGUCGCCAUCAAAUGCCCUGACUAGAUUUGGUUUUCUUUCUUUCUUUUUUUUGGCCCCUUUCCCUUGUUCUCUCGUCAACAGGUAACAUGGACCGAAGAUCACAUAAAGAGCAUCAUGGACAUGGGAGCUGUUAACUUCAGCAUAAGCAAGGACGAUCGAUUGCAUUUCCAGACUGACGAAUUUCACCACAAGCAACAUCAAAGUAACAUACGCAAUUCUUAUCCUCGCCACCCACUAUGACAAACUAUUCGUUGUCAGGGACUCGGGCCAUUUGAUCCAGAGCGCGCAAUCCAUGUUCUGCUUCGCCGACGGCAUAGCUCACAGUUUGCAGCAGCGCCGCUCGGAGCCAUCGGGGAGGCAACGGAACAAGGGAUCGCAAGUAACUUCCGACGAGGAGCGAGAUGGAACAGAAUCGAGCAGGGGGUCAAACCGCCCGCCGCCAUGCUAGAUGCUACUACCUCGCGCGCGGGCGCCGACACGGCGAAACGGGAAGAGGGAGAAGGGAGUGGGCCAACCUGGGGGAGGAGAAGGCGAGGCCGCGGCGGUGGCCGAGGGAGGCCGUCCGCAGGGAUGCGAAGCUGGAGCAUAGCGACGACGACGGCGACGCCAUCUGACUACCUGCCAAAGCCACCAACUCUUCCCUUCCGGCUCUUGGCUUGGUGCACGAGCAGCUUUGUUUUCUCUGGGUC